AACGUACGCUGGCGGCACGCCUAACACAUGCAAGUCGAACGCAGUAGCAAUACUGAGUGGCAGACGGGUGAGUAACAUGAGGGAAUCUGCCUUGUGGUUCAGGACAACAUUGGGAAACCGAUGCUAAUACUGGAUAGGCCCUUACGGGGAAAGUUUUAAUGCCAUAAGAUGAGCCCGCAUUUGAUUAGUUAGUUGGUGAGGUAAUGGCUCACCAAGACAAUGAUCAAUAGCUGAUCUGAGAGGAUGAUCAGCCACACUGGGACUGAGACACGGCCCAGACUCCUACGGGAGGCAGCAGUGGGGAAUCUUGCACAAUGGAGGAAACUCUGAUGCAGCGAUGCCGCGUGAGUGAAGAAGGCCUUUGGGCUGUAAGGCUCUUUUGUAGGGGAAGAUAAUGACUGUACCCUAAGAAUAAGGUCCGGCUAACUUCGUGCCAGCCGCCGCAGUAA
rnacentral:rRNA from 1 species